GACGAACGCUGGCGGCGUGCUUAACACAUGCAAGUCGAACGGAAAGGCCCUGCUUUUGUGGGGUGCUCGAGUGGCGAACGGGUGAGUAACACGUGAGUAACCUGCCCUUGACUUUGGGAUAACUUCAGGAAACUGGGGCUAAUACCGGAUAUGAGCUCCUGCUGCAUGGUGGGGGUUGGAAAGUUUCGGCGGUUGGGGAUGGACUCGCGGCUUAUCAGCUUGUUGGUGGGGUAGUGGCUUACCAAGGCUUUGACGGGUAGCCGGCCUGAGAGGGUGACCGGCCACAUUGGGACUGAGAUACGGCGCAGACGCCAACGGGAGGCAGCAGUGGGGAAUAUUGCGGAAUGGGCGGAAGCCUGAGACAGCAACGCCGCGUGCGGGAUGACGGCCUUCGGGUUGUAAACCGAUUUCGCCUGUGACGAAGCGUGAGUGACGGUAAUGGGUAAAGAAGCACCGGCUAACUACGUG
rnacentral:rRNA from 1 species